CUACGGGAGGCAGCAGUGGGGAAUCUUCCGCAAUGGACGAAAGUCUGACGGAGCAACGCCGCGUGAGUGAUGAAGGUCUUCGGAUUGUAAAGCUCUGUUAAUCGGGACGAAAGAGCCUAGUGUGAAUAAUGCUAGGAAGUGACGGUACCGGAAUAGAAAGCCACGGCUAACUACGUGCCAGCAGCCGCGGUAAUACGUAGGUGGCAAGCGUUGUCCGGAAUUAUUGGGCGUAAAGCGCGCGCAGGCGGAUCUGCCAGUCUGUCUUAAAAGUUCGGGGCUUAACCCCGUGAUGGGAUGGAAACUACAGAUCUAGAGUAUCGGAGAGGAAAGUGGAAUUCCUAGUGUAGCGGUGAAAUGCGUAGAUAUUAGGAAGAACACCAGUGGCGAAGGCGACUUUCUGGACGAAAACUGACGCUGAGGCGCGAAAGCCAGGGGAGCGAACGGGAUUAGAAACCCUUGUAAUCC
rnacentral:rRNA from 1 species